rnacentral:lncRNA from 1 species
CUAUCCUUUCAACAGUUACUACUAAUAUUUACUCAUUUCACUUUUGAUUGCAACUUAGAAAAAAAAAGUGGCGAGGGACACCAACAAAUCAUUGUAUAGCUAAUAGCUAUAGCCAGGGUAUUUUUCAUCUUUGUUGUAUGUGAUUAUGAAUAAAUUUAAGAUGAUACUGGGUUAGUUCUUAGACACUUUAGUUCAUAAUGAACAUCAAAAGAAGGUACGGAUCGCGCGUCUUUCUUUCCUCUCCAAUUAUAAUUUGUAUUCUCUUAUC